rnacentral:rRNA from 1 species
AAAAGUCGUAACAAGGUUUCCGUAGGUGAACCUGCGGAAGGAUCAUUGUCGAAUCCUGCAUAACGGUACAACUCGCGAACUAGUUCAUAAACAUAGGACCGGAUCAACUGUCUAGAAAUUCUAUGCAUUUGAUUUGUGCCUAUCUGCAAUAGGGGCAUUUGCCUCUGUGCUUAACAAACCCCGGCGCGAGAAGCGUCAAGGAAUACUCUAACAAGGGCUCGAUCCCGUCCUCUCCCGUUUGUGCGGUGUCGGGGAUUGGGGAAAGCUUCUUUCUAAACCAAUAUGACUCUCGGCAACGGAUAUCUCGGCUCUCGCAUCGAUGAAGAACGUAGCGAAAUGCGAUACUUGGUGUGAAUUGCAGAAUCCCGUGAACCAUCGAGUCUUUGAACGCAAGUUGCGCCUGAAGCCAUUAGGCUAAGGGCACGUCUGCCUGGGCGUCACGCAUCGCGUCACCUCUCCACACUUUUUGUAAAUGGGGUGGAAUGUGACCUCCUGUGCUUAGGGUGCAGUUGGUCAAAAUUUGAGUCCGAAGACUAGGAUGUCACGACAAGUGGUGGUUGGAUAACAACUUGUGUCAUGUCGUGUGCCGAACCUCUUGUGACCGUUGAGACCCUAAUUGCACUUGAUACCCUCCUCCUCGGAGAGGGAGCGUGUGCUAUGAUUGCGACCCCAGGUCAGGCGGGAUUACCCGCUGAAUUUAAGCAUAUCAA